rnacentral:rRNA from 1 species
UACGUAGGGACCAAGCGUUGUUCGGAUUUACUGGGCGUAAAGGGCGCGUAGGCGGCGCGGUAAGUCACUUGUGAAAUCUCUGAGCUUAACUCAGAACGGCCAAGUGAUACUGCAGUGCUAGAGUGUGGAAGGGGCAAUCGGAAUUCUUGGUGUAGCGGUGAAAAUGCGUAGAUAUCAAGAGGAACACCUGAGGUGAAAGACGGGUUGCUGGGCCAACACUGACGCUGAGGCGACGAAAGCCAGGGAGGCAAACAGGAUUAG